AUGAGUCGACCUGAUGGGAUCAACAUCCCCGAUGGCAAGUUCUACCUUGGAGAUGCUGGCUACGCAUGUCGGCCGAGUAUUCUUCCACCCUUCAGGAAAACAAGGUACCAUCUCAACGAGUUCUCUGGUAGGAACUUUCCUAGGACUGCAUAGGAGCUGUUUAAUCUCAGACACUCCAGCCUUAGAGUAACUGUUGAGAGGGCAUUUGGAGCUCUGAAGAAUAGGUUUAAGAUCCUGGAUCAGAAGCCAUUCCACCCAUACUCCACUCAGGUUAAGCUAGUUCUUGCUUGCACUACAAAAAAAUACACUUCCACGAUGAUACGUGUUUGUCAUAGUAGGUCGCGUUUUUUGUCAUGCAUGUACAUCCAUGACAAAUUUAUAACAGAAUCAAGAUAG
rnacentral:rRNA from 1 species